rnacentral:rRNA from 1 species
UACGUAGGGUGCAAGCGUUAAUCGGAAUUACUGGGCGUAAAGCGUGCGCAGGCGGCUAUGCAAGGCAGAUGUGAAAUCCCCGGGCUCAACCUGGGAACUGCAUUUGUGACUGCAUGGCUAGAGUACGGUAGAGGGGGAUGGAAUUCCGCGUGUAGCAGUGAAAUGCGUAGAUAUGCGGAGGAACACCGAUGGCGAAGGCAAUCCCCUGGACCUGUACUGACGCUCAUGCACGAAAGCGUGGGGAGCAAACAGG